AACGCAUUACAAGUAACGCGAGUUACGUAAUCAGAUUAAUUUUUUCAAGUAACUAGUAAAGUAACGCAUUACUUUUUAAUUUACAAGAGAAUAACUGAGUUAAUUGUUCAAAUAAGUAACGCAAGUUACUUUUUUUUCCCCAAUUUAUUGAUUGACAGCUCUGGUGUUGCCAUGGUGACAGAAAUCAGAAGAUGUUACUGUAGUUCUAAAAUAAAUAUGAAUAUGCAUUAAUUCAUCUCACUCACAAAAAAAACCAAAAACACAGAUUCAGUAUUUUCUAAACAGAAGCAGCUAGCGGCAGGAUACUGGAGCGCCUCGCCAAAACAAUACAAGGAACCAGGGCAAAAACACACGGGCUGCGGAACCCAUGCGUACUGGACACGGCGUGUAGUGUGUGUGCAUCACUUCGCCUUUUAUUCAAGUGACCGAGGCUGAUACAAAGAGACUAAUAAUAGUCAUCGGGCCACAGAAAUAUUUUGGAUACAAGCACAAAAGCCACAAACGCCUUUCAUCGAACAGCCAGCUGGAGGUUUUGGGAGCAGCAGCACCCCUCCCCAAGAGGCUGACAAGCUGGGGCAGACCAAGUGACCUAUAUCCUCCAACACGCCCAAGGCACUGGAACACAUCUCUGUCGGCUUGAUAGAGCCGUUACAUAAAAGAAUAAAAGUGAAAACAAAGAAAAGGGGGUCAGAAUACUUUAAGAAAAUUUGGUCACAUUUCCUGUACUUCAGGACUUUAUUGACCCUCUUUCAUUCCCCUGUUUGGCUUUGAAAGACAUUGUGUGCAAGACAGCCAGAAGAGUUUUUUGGGGGUUUGUUAAUUGCAGGAGACUCAUAAAGAGGUGCACCUGUUCUUACUCUUCUUAGCCAAGCUGGACACUUGAUCAUCAAGGGAUAUUUGCUUGAGCUUCACAUCAACAAAACCAAUGAGGUUCAGUUUUCCAGGGACUAAAAUACCUCAUAAAGUCUUUGAUUAUCCAGCUACUUAGUUGAAGAUUCUCCAGUCCACUAUUCGUCAGGAUAUCCUACAGGAAUUCCCAUAGCCACCUUUCCCACUUUUCCCCAUCCCUGUUUCAUCAUUUAUUUCCAUUAUACCAGUGGUGAAGCAGCGGUCCCAAA
ensembl:lncRNA